UUUUUAGAUGUUGAUUAUUUUACUAUUUCUUUAUUGUUUACCAUAGUUUACAUUAUACUUCAAAUUAUUAAAUUGUCAUGUAAAUCAGGACUGUUAGCACUUUGCAGACACUUUAUUUCUCUAAUAUCUUUUUACAUAUUGUUAUUGUUGUCAUUUAAAUCUACUUAUAUUUAAACACCAUGCAACAUCAUCGUUAUCGUCACAACAGUUAAUAUCCAAUUAUAUUUAUCCAAGUAUUUUUUUCUUUUUUCUUGAUCCUUAUUCUUUCCUUUGUUUACCUCUAUCUUAGAUCGUUUUUCUUUUUCCUAAAGAUCCUAUUUGAGGUCUUUUGUAUCUGUCUAAAAAUAUCUUCAUUUCAACUUAUUUUUUUUGAAGCACAUUAUUUUUGGUUUGUUAUAGUAAAAUAAUUGUUAGGAGUUUUUUUAUUGCUCUGUAAAGCAUUUUUACAAUUGACAUUGGGCUUUCUUCUCUCUCUCCUCUCUCUGUCUCUCUCUGUGUGUGUGUAUGUGUGUGUUUGAAUUUGCUAUUAGUAUUAUAGAUAGCACUUUAUAAGCAGUGCUCCUUUUUUCUUUGGUUGAUUUUUAAAGAUUUUGUAUUUGUUUUUGACAAUCAAGAUUUUUACAUAAUUUGUCUAAAUUUUUUGGGUUUUUUUUUUGCUCUGUUUUAUUUUGCCCCAUAUUUAUAUCACUUUUUGAAUCUGUGGCAUGUUUUAAGUCAGUUUUGGAAAACAUGCAUAUCUCUUCAAGUUUUCUGUUCUCCUUCCUAUUUCUUCUCCUCCUUCAAAAAUGAGGGUACUUUAAUUUUUUUUUAACUUUAUCUCAUGUUCUCUUUGGUGGUUUCUUGUAUUUUCUGUUUGGAUUAUUUACAUAACAGCUUUGUGAAGUUUACAAGUUGCCAAAUAACUUGAAAGAAAUAUCAGUACAGGUUGGCUGUUUGAGCUUGACUUAGGUUCUUCAGAGUGGUUAUGACAAUCCAGAAGCUUGAGAAUCAUUGUCAUACAUAUUUUGAAUUUCUAAUUUAAACAUCAGACGGCAAUGUAACCACUGUAUAAGUAAGAACUUGGUCUAGAUGCAUCAGUGGUGUCAUAUAUUUGCAGCUGCCUUCUUGAAUCACAGGGUCUUCACUCAAGGUGUAAAAUAACCCAUCCAAUUUAAACUCCUAUAACGAGUAUUUGAUCAUAUUUACAUCAAGCUGCAGGAAGAUUUUACCCUGAGUGACAGUGUAUUCAGCUAAAAAUGGUUCCGGGCAAGGUGGCCGAAUACGAAUAGCUCUCGUCUGCAGCUCUCAGUGAGACCAAUAGAGAAGUGAUUUCUGCAUUUCCAACUGAGGUACCCGGCUCACUACACUGGGACUGGUUAGACAAUGGGGACAGCCCACAGAGGGUGAGCUGAAGGAAGGUGGGACAUCGCCUCACCC
rnacentral:lncRNA from 1 species